rnacentral:rRNA from 1 species
CCUAACACAUGCAAGUCGAGCGGUAACAGANAGUAGCUUGCUACUUUGCUGACGAGCGGCGGACGGGUGAGUAAUGCUUGGGAACAUGCCUUGAGGUGGGGGACAACAGUUGGAAACGACUGCUAAUACCGCAUAAUGUCUACGGACCAAAGGGGGCUUCGGCUCUCGCCUUUAGAUUGGCCCAAGUGGGAUUAGCUAGUUGGUGAGGUAAUGGCUCACCAAGGCGACGAUCCCUAGCUGGUUUGAGAGGAUGAUCAGCCACACUGGGACUGAGACACGGCCCAGACUCCUACGGGAGGCAGCAGUGGGGAAUAUUGCACAAUGGGCGCAAGCCUGAUGCAGCCAUGCCGCGUGUGUGAAGAAGGCCUUCGGGUUGUAAAGCACUUUCAGUCAGGAGGAAAGGUUAGUAGUUAAUACCUGCUAGCUGUGACGUUACUGACAGAAGAAGCACCGGCUAACUCCGUGCCAGCAGCCGCGGUAAUACGGAGGGUGCGAGCGUUAAUCGGAAUUACUGGGCGUAAAGCGUACGCAGGCGGUUUGUUAAGCGAGAUGUGAAAGCCCCGGGCUCAACCUGGGAACUGCAUUUCGAACUGGCAAACUAGAGUGUGAUAGAGGGUGGUAGAAUUUCAGGUGUAGCGGUGAAAUGCGUAGAGAUCUGAAGGAAUACCGAUGGNGAAGGCAGCCACNUGGGUCAACACUGACGCUCAUGUACGAAAGCGUGGGGAGCAAACGGGAUAUAUACCCCCGUGGUCC